rnacentral:rRNA from 1 species
UACGUAGGGUGCGAGCGUUAAUCGGAAUUACUGGGCGUAAAGCGUGCGCAGGCGGUGAUGUAAGACCGAUGUGAAAUCCCCGGGCUUAACCUGGGAACUGCUUGGUGACUGCAUUGCUGGAGUAUGGCAGAGGGGGGGUGGAAUUCCACGUGUAGCAGUGAAAUGCGUAGAGAUGUGGAGGAACACCGAUGGCGAAGGCAGCCCCCUGGGCCAAUACUGACGCUCAUGCACGAAAGCGUGGGGAGCAAACAGG